UCCUCGGCGAAGUAGCGCUCCGCCUGCGUCCCGAGCACGACG
rnacentral:misc_RNA from 1 species